UACGUAGGGUGCAAGCGUUGUCCGGAAUUAUUGGGCGUAAAGAGCUCGUAGGCGGUUUGUCGCGUCUGCUGUGAAAACUCGGGGCUUAACUCCGGGCCUGCAGUGGGUACGGGCAGACUAGAGUGCGGUAGGGGAGACUGGAAUUCCUGGUGUAGCGGUGAAAUGCGCAGAUAUCAGGAGGAACACCGGUGGCGAAGGCGGGUCUCUGGGCCGUAACUGACGCUGAGGAGCGAAAGCGUGGGGAGCGAAACAGG
rnacentral:rRNA from 1 species